rnacentral:rRNA from 1 species
GACGAACGCUGGCGGCGUGCUUAACACAUGCAAGUCGAACGGUAAGGCCCUUCGGGGUACACGAGUGGCGAACGGGUGAGUAACACGUGGGUGAUCUGCCCUGCACUUCGGGAUAAGCCUGGGAAACUGGGUCUAAUACCGGAUAGGACCCUGGGAUGCAUGUCCUGGGGUGGAAAGCUUUUGCGGUGUGGGAUGGGCCCGCGGCGCUAUCAGCUUGUUGGUGGGGUGAUGGCCUACCAAGGCGACGACGGGUAGCCGGCCUGAGAGGGGGACCGGCCACACUGGGGCGGAGAUGCGGCCCAGACCCCGACGGGAGGCAGCAGGGGGGAAUAUUGCACAAUGGGCGCAAGCCUGAGGCAGCGCCGCCGCGGGGGGGAUGCCGGCAUUGGGGUUGUAACCCUCUUUCAGCACCGACGAAGCGCAAGUGACGGUAGGUGAAGAAGAAGGACCGGCCAACUACGUGCCAGCCGCCGCCGUAA